UAAAACUAACCCCCCCACUUUUGACAAAAGGUGGCGCUAUAGAGUGCCUCAUUCACGCCCUUUUAAAAGCUUUUGCCAUUGUCUAGCUAUCACUAAUACUGAUAUGUGUUUUGAGUUUCAUGUAAAUCUGAGGUUGUUAUCUGCCUCAAAAUCACCAUAACAGAAUAUUCAAGUUUGACACGUUGCCAUGGCAACACUAUAUCAGAUAUCAAUAUCCCCACAACAGAUUUUCAUCGGCCGUGUUUUGUCAUUAUUCUGAUGAAGUUUUAAGCAAAUCGAGUAAAAAUAAGAUGCUGAAUUCAAAGCAUUUGGAAAAUGACACACUUCCUGCUGCCAGUUGGUGGCGCUAUAACGUUGACUCUUAAUAGUCACAUAUAUACAAUCGGUAUCAUACAACGAACAAACCCAUGAAGUUUGAUCAAAUUCAGGAAAUGUAUGUGGAUGUUAUUAGACAUUUCCUGUUUCUCAUUUCUCGCCAUAAGUUCCACGCCUCGCCACGGGCAAACCGUUCGAGAUAUCAAAAAUCCCCUCGCAAUUUUUCAUCCUCAAUGUCUUGAGAUCAUGUUCACCGAGUUUCGUGGCGAACGGGUUGAAAACCUCAGAGGAGUAUUUCAAAUUCCAGAGCAUGCUUUUUUUAAACAGCCCUGAAUAGCUGAUUUCCUGUUGGGCGGAGCCUAUGACAUAAAGUGUGAAAGUUGUUCAGCUCAAUGAGAUCUAUAAGUCUACUGAGUUUCAUAUAAAUACAUGCAAGUGUGUGUGAGCUAUGGUUCAAGAUUUCUGACUGUGUUCCAGGGGGCGCUGUAGAGCCCCUGUGCCACGCCCGGGUCCCAGCCUCUGCGGCGUCCUGAUGGCCGCAGAUUCCAAUGUGUGUGCCAAUUUUCAAGAGUUUUUGAGCAUGUUAAGGCCCCCAAAAACCCCCGGAAGGUUUAAUAAAAAAUAAAAAUAAUAAUAAUAAUAAUUAAAGCUGCAAGCAGCGAUGAACGGGCCCUCGCACCCGGGCUCACCGCCAUCGUGUGGCUUUAGUAAAAAGGUGAACGUUGAGAAAUAUGCAUUUAAUGUCCUAAAUAUAAGUGGAAUAUAUCAAAGUAUAUCCCAUAUAUGUGCCAAUCUUACCGUUGCCAGCAGGUGGCGCUAUCAUUAUAAUGGAAUAUUGGCCUUCAGAUGUGUUCAGGCCAGGACUCUUAUCAAACGUGAAGUUUGGGGAAGACUGAACAUUUUAUACUUGAGUUACAACAACUUCUCUUGCUGUGGCAAGACAUCAAAUUUUGUCAUGGCGCCAUGGAAACGCCCUUUAACAAAAACUCAAGAUCUCCAAAAGUUAACAUUGCACAGGCAUUUAGAUUAGACUGACCACAAAAUAUAUGUUAAUCUCAAAAAAAUAAUAGGAGUAGUUUGUCGCAGCGUAAAACAUGUCACUUCCUGUUGCCAAUAGGUGGCGCUAUGACUAUAACUGAAUGUGGGCAUGUAGAUCUGUUAAGGGCAGAAGUUUUAUCUAACAUGUGAAGUUUGGGGCAGAUUGGACAUUGUAUGUCUGAGUUACAGCAACUUCCUUUUUCAUGGCGAAACAUCGAAAUUUGUCAGGCCGUCAUGGACACGCCCUUUAACGAAAUCUAAAGAUCUUCGCAAUUUAACAUCGCAAAGGGCUUAAGAUUACACUGACCAGGUUUGGUGUUGAUCUGAAUAAAUCUUUAGGAGGAGUUCGUUAAAGUACAACCCCUGAAAAUGGCAAAAACAACGCCAAUUUUGCAGAGAAAAUUCUAAAUAAUCGACUUCCUGUUGGGAUUCGGAUUUCGUACCAAGAGACUUUUUUGUAGGUAUUGGUGUGUUACAUGUGUAUACCGAUUUUUGUACAUGUACAUGAAACAUAGCUCGAGGCGCACUCUGUUGAAAGUGUAUAGGUGGCGCUAUCGAGCCAUUUUGCCACACCUGAUGGAAUUUUGGCCUUCAGAUGUGUUCAGGCCAGGACUCUUAUCACACAUGUGCAGUUUGGGGAAGAUCGGACAUUUUAUGCCUGAGUUAUAACAUCUUUUAUUCCCAUGGCGAGACAUCGAACUUCGUGAUGGCGCCAUGGACACGCCUUUUAACGAAAACUCAAGAUCUUCACAACUAAACAUCGCACAGGCCUUUAGAUUAGACUGACCACAAAAAAUACAUUGAUGUCAUAAAAUUUCUAGGAGUAGUUCAUCGCAGUGUAAAAUAUGCCACUUCCUGUUGCCAGUAGGUGGCGCUAUGACUAUAACUGAAUAUGGGCAUGUCAAUCUGUUCAGGUCAGGAGUCUCAUCAAACAUGUGAAGUUUGGGGCAGAUUGGUCAUUGUAUGUCUGAGUUAUAGCAACUUCAUUUUUCAUGGCGAAUCAUCGAAAUUCGCCAGGCCGCCACGGACACGCCCAUUAACGAAAACUCAAAAGCUUCGCAAUUUAACAUCGCAAAGGCCUUCAGAUUAGGCAUACCAAAUUUGGUGUUGAUCUGAAUGAAUCUCUAGGAGGAGUUCGUUAAAAUACAACGCAUGGAAAUGACAAAAAUGACACAAAAUUUGCUCAUAAUAUUAGUAAUAACCGACUUCCUGUUGGGUUUCGGAUUUUGCUCCAAGAGACUUUUUUGUAGGUAUUGGAGAGUUACAUGUGUAUACCGAUUUUCAUAGAUGUACAUGAAACGUAGCUCGAGGCGCACACCAUUGAACGUGUAUAGGUGGCGCUGUUGAGCCAUUUUGCCACACCCACUUCUGAAACCCAUAUCAGACGUAAAUUUUCGCCAGUUCUGAGGUGUGUGCAAAGUUUCAUGACUUUUCGAGCAUGUUUAGGCCCUCAAAAAUGCGAUUCAUUUUGGAGAAGAAGAAUAAUAAUAAUAAUAAUAAUAAUAAUAAUAAUAAUAAACGGAGCAAUUCCAAGAGGGUCCUCACACCAUCGGUGCUCGGGCCCUAAUUAAAGCUGCAAGCAGCGAUGAACGGGCCCUCGCACCCGGGCUCACCGCCAUCGUGUGGCUUUAGUAAAAAGGUGAACGUUGAGAAAUAUGCAUUUAAUGUCCUAAAUAUAAGUGGAAUAUAUCAAAGUAUAUCCCAUAUAUGUGCCAAUCUUACUGUUGCCAGCAGGUGGCGCUAUCAUUAUAAUGGAAUAUUGGCCUUCAGAUGUGUUCAGGCCAGGACUCUUAUCAAACAUGUGAAGUUUGGGGAAGAUUGAACAUUUUAUGCUUGAGUUACAACAACUUCUCUUGCCGUGGCAAGACAUCAAAUUUUGUCAUGGCGCCAUGGAAACGCCCUUUAACAAAAACUCAAGAUCUCCAAAAGUUAACAUCGCACAGGCCUUUAGAUUAGACUGACCACAAAAAAGACAUUGAUGUCAAAAAAUUUCUAGGAGUAGUUUGUCACAGCGUAAAACAUGUCACUUCCUGUUGCCAAUAGGUGGCGCUAUGACUAUAACUGAAUGUGGGCAUGUAGAUCUGUUAAGGGCAGAAGUUUUAUCUAACAUGUGAAGUUUGGGGCAGAUUGGACAUUGUAUGUCUGAGUUACAGCAACUUCCUUUUUCAUGGCGAAACAUCGAAAUUUGUCAGGCCGCCAUGGACACGCCCUUUAACGAAAUCUAAAGAUCUUCGCAAUUUAACAUCGCAAAGGGCUUAAGAUUACACUGACCAGGUUUGGUGUUGAUCUGACUAAAUCUCUAGGAGGAGUUCGUUAAAGUACAACCCCUGAAAAUGGCAAAAACAACGCCAAUUUUGCAGAGAAAAUUCUAAAUAACCGACUUCCUGUUGGGAUUCGGAUUUCGUACCAAGUGACUUUUUUGUAGGUAUUGGUGUGUUACAUAUGUAUACCGAUUUUUGUACAUGUACGUGAAACAUAGCUCGAGGCGCACUCUGUUGAAAGUGUAUAGGUGGCGCUAUCGAGCCAUUUUGCCACACCUGAUGGAAUUUUGGCCUUCAGAUGUGUUCAGGCCAGGACUCUUAUCACACAUGUGCAGUUUGGGGAAGAUCGGACAUUUUAUGCCUGAGUUAUAACAUAUUUUAUUCCCAUGGUGAGACAUCGAACUUCGUGACGGCGCCAUGGACACGCCUUUUAACGAAAACUCAAGAUCUUCACAACUUAACAUCUCACAGGCCUUUAGAUUAGACUGACCACAAAAAAUACACUGAUGUCAUAAAAUUUCUAGGAGUAGUUCGUCGCAGUGUAAAAUAUGUCACUUCCUGUUGCCAAUAGGU